CAAAAAAUAAAAUAAAAUAAAAUAAUAAUACUGACAUAGUUGGCAAUACGAACGCAUAAGAAUUAAGGAGCACUAACGGAAACAAACAAGAAAAAUCAUUCCAAAAUACCAAACACUGUUAAUGAGGUGGGCUGAACUGAAGCUCCAUUCGCUGAACUGAAUAAGGUUUAACUAUAAGGACCCUGAAUCAAUGGCUUUCGUAAAGCAGUUACAUUUCAAUAAAAUAUUCAAUUGAAACUAUAAUUAUGCAAGCCAAUCAUAAGCCCCCAAUGAGUAUGUAAUACUACAGAGGUUCAUGUGACAGACCUAGAACUUCGUUAAGUGGAAAAAAAUUAAAAAACAGGAAACACAGUUUGUUUGGUGGUAGUAUGUAGAGAAAGGGGUAGACAUUAAUAACCAUGGACUUAAAAAAAAAAAAAAAAAUUAAAUGUCUUGAGCAUUGAAACAAAUUACUAAGAGUUUAAGACUUUAAGCUAACACCAAUUUGGCACAUAAGGGAAUGGAGUUUCAAACAUUUUCAAGCUUCAACAUACUUUUUGACCCACAGUCCACAAAUCAAAGUUAUAGAAACCACAAUAGUGCAGCCCACAUACCUUUAUUGCACAAGGUCUAACACCUAACAAUAAACAAUAAGAGUCCACUGCUAACUGAUAUAAUGUACCACUGUAAAUGCAACCAUAAAAUGAUUGAUAAAAGAAUUUACCCCCUUACUGGCAACCAGACAUUGAUCUUGCCUUUGAGACAUUGGCCUAUUGUUACAAGCUUCAUUUCCCUUUAACACAAAAGAAUGAAUAUCAAGAGCUAACUCAAUAAAGUAGCAAGUACAAAAUAUUUCUAAAAGGACCAAAUAAAUCUGUUCAGUAAUACACAAUUUGUAAGUUCGCCAAUGAAAUUCAAUUAACGCGAGUAUAUAAGAUACAGUCAGCUGCACCAAACACAUCUCCAAUGAAAAUUGGUCGUCUGCAUCAUUUCGCAAACCUGAAAACAAGUUAGUAAUUACAAAGAAAAGUAUCGCAAACAUGUACAAACUAAUUAACAGAUAAAUUAGCAAAUCUAAUACUAAGGAUUUACAUGAAUGACUUGUAUCUUGGACGUAUUGUCUGCAGAAAACAAUCAGUUUGAAACCAGAACAUACUGAUCAACAUAGACAUAAUCGCUAAAUAAAAAACUAAAUCAUUGAGAAUGUGCAAUAACUUUCCCAGUAACAUACACAAUCGAUUUAAGCUACACAAAAAUAUUAGGUGCUUUCCUUUGUGUGCAUGAUAACCAGAUUUCAGAAUCUCUUCACUUCAACUCGAGCAAGUACUCAUUUCUGGUUCAUAUUCCAGAAUCAUUUUGGCAAGUUCAAAAAUUGAAGUAAUAGAUCCAAAUUAUAUUUAAUUCAGACGAGGAAAAUGCAAAUUUCGUUCAGAUCUUUAUUAGUAAUAAGCUAAUUAAUUGUGAGAAAAAUAGGUCUAUGAAAUCCUAAAGCCAACCUAGGGCUUCCAAAGCUUUCCAUUUGUUUUGUUUUUAACUUUAAUUAACAACUAUAAAUAAAACGUGAAG
rnacentral:lncRNA from 1 species